GGCUUAGAGUUUGAUCAUGGCUCAGGAUGAACGCUGGCGGCGUGCCUAACACAUGCAAGUCGAGCGAAGCACUUUGCUUUGAAUCUUUCGGGAGGACGAGUGAUUUGGCUGAGCGGCGGACGGGUGAGUAACGCGUGGGCAACCUGCCUCACACAGGGGGAUAACAGUUAGAAAUGACUGCUAAUACCGCAUAAGGCCACAGCACCGCAUGGUGCAGGGGUAAAAACUCCGGUGGUGUGAGAUGGGCCCGCGUCUGAUUAGGUAGUUGGUGAGGUAACGGCUCACCAAGCCGACGAUCAGUAGCCGACCUGAGAGGGUGACCGGCCACAUUGGGACUGAGACACGGCCCAAACUCCUACGGGAGGCAGCAGUGGGGAAUAUUGCACAAUGGGGGAAACCCUGAUGCAGCGACGCCGCGUGAGCGAUGAAGUAUUUCGGUAUGUAAAGCUCUAUCAGCAGGGAAGAAACUGACGGUACCUGACUAAGAAGCACCGGCUAAAUACGUGCCAGCAGCCGCGGUAAUACGUAUGGUGCAAGCGUUAUCCGGAUUUACUGGGUGUAAAGGGAGCGUAGACGGACUUGCAAGUCUGAAGUGAAAGCCCGGGGCUCAACCCCGGGACUGCUUUGGAAACUGUAGGUCUAGAGUGCUGGAGAGGUAAGUGGAAUUCCUAGUGUAGCGGUGAAAUGCGUAGAUAUUAGGAGGAACACCAGUGGCGAAGGCGGCUUACUGGACAGUAACUGACGUUGAGGCUCCGAAAGCGUGGGGAGCAAACAGGAUUAGAUACCCUGGUAGUCCUACCGCCGUAAACGAUGACUGCUAAGUGUUCGGGGAGCAAAGCUCUUCCGUGCGCAGCUACGCAUAAGCA
rnacentral:rRNA from 1 species